GACAGAGGUGCCGAGCGUUAGGCGGAAUCACUGGGCUUAAAGCGUGUGUAGGCGGCCCGUUAAGUGCCUCGUGAAAUCCCCCGGCUCAACCCGGGGAACUGCCGGGCAUACUGGCGGGCUUGGGCCACUCAGGGGCAGACGGAACAGGCGGUGGAGCGGUGAAAUGCGUAGAUAUCGCCUGGAACGCCGAAGGUGAAAACAGUCUGCUGGGGUGUGCCGA
rnacentral:rRNA from 1 species